AAAGCGUCUUACUGGCUGAGGUCCGGUGAUCCGUUGUCUAGGGGCAUUCGGGCACCCAUAAGUAGGGGCUCUCCGGCACUGUUCAUGUCUUUGAAGUGAAUGCCAACAAGAAGACUAUAAUCCAUGAUUCUCUCUUGUUCAAAAAUCUCUGAACCAAGACUUGUGCAAACGGAAUAUGAAGUUCAAAUCGAGGUCCUUGAGAGUCAUGGUUGGUUCAAUCUCUGAUUCGGGCUUGUCGGUUAGGCGGCCGUGGGAGGAGCCUUUCAGAUCAAAGCGUCGAUGGAUGGCAUACUCCGUGCAAAACAGAUUCCCAAUGAUCACAAAUCGCACCUGCUUGAGUCAAUCACAUUAUGAGAAUGAAUGGAUAGAGUAUUGAUGGCAAAACGAAUCGGUGUUGUUGUUGGUUACCUUCUUCUGCGCAGCGCCAGUCAACUUCACACAAUGGAGCCCGUAGAAUUUGGUGACGAGGGUGUUUUCAAAGGCGCGGACGUGCUUAUAGUAAUCUGAAAGCAUUCUGAUAAGCACCUGCUAAACAACCAUUCCUAUGUUAUAUCAUACAUAUUCAAGAUUUGAAAUUAAUAUAAUAGAUUUGAACUCA